GUGCCAGCAGCCGCGGUAAUACGUAGGGGGCGAGCGUUGUCCGAAUUUACUGGGCGUAAAGCGCGCGUAGGCGGACCUUUAAGUGGAGGGUGAAAUCUUGGGGCUCAACCCCAAAACUGCCUUCCAAACUGGGGGUCUUGAGGUAUGGAGAGGGAAGUGGAAUUCCUGGUGUAGCGGUGAAAUGCGUAGAUAUCAGGAGGAACACCCGUGGCGAAGGCGGCUUCCUGGCCAUAAUCUGACGCUGAGGUGCGAAAGCUAGGGGAGCGAACGGGAUUAGAUACCCUCGUAGUCC
rnacentral:rRNA from 1 species